GAGUUYAUCAACUUCCCCAACCCUAUGUGAACCUACCUUUAUGUUGCUUCGGCGGUGUCGCGCCGGGUUGCCCCCAGCGGGCUCCCGGGACCACGCGCCCGCCGGAGACCACAAACUCUUGAUUUUGCGAAAGCAGUAUUCUUCUGAGWGGCCGAAAGGCAAAAAACAAAUGAAUCAAAACUUUCAACAACGGAUCUCUUMGGUUCUGGCAUCGAUGAAGAACGCAGCGAAAUGCGAUAAGUAAUGUGAAUUYGCAGAAUUCAGUGAAUCAUCGAAUCUUUGAACGCACAUUGCGCCCGCCAGCAUUCUGGCGGGCAUGCCUGUUCGAGCGUCAUUUCAACCCUCGAGCUCGUCUUCAUUGACGAGAUCGGUGUUGGGACCCGGCAAAGCGGACCCAGUCCGGCGCCGGCCCCGAAAUUCAGUGGCGGCCCGUUGCGGCGACCUCUGCGUAGUAACUUAACCUCGCAGUGGAAGAGCAGCGCGGCCACGCCGUAAAACCCCCGACUUUUUUAAGGUUGACCUCGAAUCAGGUAGGACUACCCGCUGAACUUAAGCAUAUCA
rnacentral:rRNA from 1 species